rnacentral:misc_RNA from 1 species
AGCCAUUUGAUUUUCUUAUUGAUGGAGAGCUUGUUCGUAUGUCACUUGAGCAGUUUCUUCUCGCCAAGGGCAUUUCUGCGGAGAAGAUCUUGGAAAUUGAAUACAUUAAAGCAGUGGUCUCUCGGAGACAGGANNNNNNNNGCAUGAUGACUGGGUCAGUGCAGUUGAUGGUUCUUGUCCUCGGUUCAUUUUGACAGGGUGCUAUGAUGGUCUUGGAAGGGUAUGGAAAACUGCUGGGCUGUGUACACAUAUACUAGAGGGACACAGUGAUGCAAUUACUUCUGUUAGUAUCAUUAGCCCCGUAGGUGAGGAUAGUGUUACAGUGGCCACUGGCUCAAAAGAUCAAACACUCAGGCUUUGGAAGUUUCAUACAGAAGAACCUGAAAAAUCUCCUGCAAAGAUUAGGGCCUUCAAAAUUUUGCGUGGACAUAAUGCAUCUGUGCAAAGUGUUGCAGCUGAAACUUCUGGAAGCAUGAUUUGUUCGGGCUCCUGGGAUUGUACGAUCAAUUUAUGGCGGACAAAUGAGUCUGAAACAGAAGGUGAUUUAGUGUCAGUUAAGAAGAGAAAAGUGAAAAACAAAGCUGAGGAAUCUCAAUUGGAGGGGGAGGCUAUGUCUACACUUGUGGGCCAUACACAACGUGUAUCUUCUGUUGUUUGGCCAGAACGUGAAACAAUGUACUCUGCAUCAUGGGAUCAUUCUAUUAGACAUUGGGAUGUCGAGACAGGCC